rnacentral:rRNA from 1 species
GACGAACGCUUGCGGCGUGCCUAAGAAAUGCAAGUCGAGCGAGGUCCAGCCUUCGGGCGAAGACCUAGCGGCGAACGGUCGCGUAACACGUAAGCAACCUGCCCUAAAGUGGGGGAUAGCCCUCCGAAAGGAGGAUUAAUACCGCAUGUGGACACUUGAUCGCAUGGUUAAGUGUCUAAAGCAGCAAUGCGCUUUAGGAUGGGCUUGCGGCCUAUCAGCUAGUUGGUGUGGGUAACGGCUCACCAAGGCGACGACGGGUAGCUGGUCUGAGAGGAUGGUCAGCCGGACUGGGACUGAGAUACGGCCCAGACUCCUACGGGAGGCUG